CGGGAAUAUUGCGCAAUGGAGGGAACUCUGACGCAGUGACGCCGCGUAUAGGAAGAAGGUUUUCGGAUUGUAAACUAUUUUAGGCAGGGAAGAAAAAAGACGGUACCUGCAGAAUAAGCUCCGGCUAACUACGUGCCAGCAGCCGCGGUAAUACGUAGGGAGCAAGCGUUAUCCGGAAUUAUUGGGUGUAAAGGGUGCGUAGACGGGAAUUUAAGUUGGUUGUGAAAUCCCUCGGCUUAACCGAGGAACUGCAACCAAAACUGAAUUUCUUGAGUGUAGGAGACGAAAGCGGAAUUCCUAGUGUAGCGGUGAAAUGCGUAGAUAUUAGGAGGAACACCAGUGGCGAAGGCGGCUUUCUGGACUAUAACUGACGUUGAGGCACGAAAGUGUGGGGAGCAAAC
rnacentral:rRNA from 1 species